CAUCGGCUGUCAAUAGGGCUGUCAUGUGUCACAUAAUAUUAAUAUAUCUACGUCAUACGUCUUUGGUUUGUACCAGUGAUAUGGAAGAGAGGGGAUACGACAUAAGGGAUGAUUUUGUAUUUACUAAAUGGGACCAAUUGAUUUGACACUUUUGUGCUACAUCCAAUAUGGCGACGGGCAGAGCAGAAUAUACUACCAAAGAGUUGUUCCGCCAUAUUGGAUGGAGCGUUUUUGCGAGUGAAACCGAGCCCAUCUAAUUCACCGUAUGCCGCAUCCCCUCCCUCCCACAUCACUGG
rnacentral:lncRNA from 1 species